rnacentral:rRNA from 1 species
CCUACGGGAGGCAGCAGUGGGGAAUAUUGCACAAUGGGCGGAAGCCUGAUGCAGCAACGCCGCGUGCGGGAUGACGGCCUUCGGGUUGUAAACCGCUUUCGCCUGUGACGAAGCGUGAGUGAUGGUAAUGGGUAAAGAAGCACCGGCUAACUACGUGCCAGCAGCCGCGGUGAUACGUAGGGUGCGAGCGUUGUCCGGAUUUAUUGGGCGUAAAGGGCUCGUAGGUGGUUGAUCGCGUCGGAAGUGUAAUCUUGGGGCUUAACCCUGAGCGUGCUUUCGAUACGGGUUGACUUGAGGAAGGUAGGGGAGAAUGGAAUUCCUGGUGGAGCGGUGGAAUGCGCAGAUAUCAGGAGGAACACCAGUGGCGAAGGCGGUUCUCUGGGCCUUUCCUGACGCUGAGGAGCGAAAGCGUGGGGAGCGAACAGGCUUAGAUACCCUGGUAGUCCACGCUGUAAACGGUGGGUACUAGGUGUGGGGUCCAUUCCACGGGUUCCGUGCCGUAGCUAACGCUUUAAGUACCCCGCCUGGGAGUACGGCCGCAAGGCUAAAACUUACGAAAGUAGUAGGCGNGNGAGUGCGACGAGCACAGGAGGUAG